UACGGAGGGUGCAAGCGUUGUCCGGAAUCACUGGGCGUAAAGGGCGCGUAGGCGGCUCGGUAAGUAGGGGGUGAAAUCCUGCGGCUUAACCGCAGGGCUGCCCUCUAAACUGUCGAGCUUGAGCACGGUAGAGGCAGAUGGAAUUCCCGGUGUAGCGGUGGAAUGCGUAGAGAUCGGGAAGAACAUCAGUGGCGAAGGCGGUCUGCUGGGCCGUUGCUGACGCUGAGGCGCGACAGCGUGGGGGAGCAAACAGG
rnacentral:rRNA from 1 species